ACAGCUACAGAACUCCAGGGAUACUACAUUAAUGGUGUGGAUCGUCGAUUCGAAAGCCUCAACAUCGAAAACAACUUAUAAGUACGAAGGGCUCUAUACUCAUAAGAGUAUAGUAGCCCAAUAUAUAUAUAUAUAGAAUUAUGCUACUAUACUAUCAAUAGUACCAAGCCCUUGGUACUAUUGAGUUUUCGAUCGUUGGAUGAAAAGAUGUGCGGUUAGGAUGAUAGUGGUCCCCGGUUAAAUUGAUAGUGGUCCCCUAGGGUUGAGUGGGUGGUUGGUUUAAUAGUAUAAUCUAACGGGUGGAAAUGAUCAAAGGGUAGAUCUAACGGUAAAAAACUAAAUAGUACCAAGGGCUUGGUACUAUCGAUAGUAUAGUAGCCGAACUCUAUAUAUAUAUAUAUAUAU
rnacentral:lncRNA from 1 species